rnacentral:rRNA from 1 species
UAAGCGAGCGCAGACGGUUUAUUAAGUCUGAUGUGAAAGCCCGGAGCUCAACUCCCGGAAUGGCAUUGGAAACUGGUUAACUUGAGUGCAGUAGAGGUAAGUGGAACUCCAUGUGUAGCGGUGGAAUGCGUAGAUAUAUGGAAGAACACCAGUGGCGAAGGCGGCUUACUGGACUGCAACUGACGUUGAGGCUCGAAAGUGUGGGUAGCAAACAGGAUUAGAUACCCUGGUAGUCCACACCGUAAACGAUGAACACUAGGUGUUAGGAGGUUUCCGCCUCUUAGUGCCGAAGCUAACGCAUUAAGUGUUCCGCCUGGGGAGUACGACCGCAAGGUUGAAACUCAAAGGAAUUGACGGGGACCCGCACAAGCGGUGGAGCAUGUGGUUUAAUUCGAAGCAACGCGAAGAACCUUACCAGGUCUUGACAUCCUUUGAAGCUUUUAGAGAUAGAAGUGUUCUCUUCGGAGACAAAGUGACAGGUGGUGCAUGGUCGUCGUCAGCUCGUGUCGUGAGAUGUUGGGUUAAGUCCCGCAACGAGCGCAACCCUUAUUGUUAGUUGCCAGCAUUCAGAUGGGCACUCUAGCGAGACUGCCGGUGACAAACCGGAGGAAGGCGGGGACGACGUCAGAUCAUCAUGCCCCUUAUGACCUGGGCUACACACGUGCUACAAUGGCGUAUACAACGAGUUGCCAACCCGCGAGGGUGAGCUAAUCUCUUAAAGUACGUCUCAGUUCGGAUUGUAGUCUGCAACUCGACUACAUGAAGUCGGAAUCGCUAGUAAUCGCGGAUCAGCACGCCGCGGUGAAUACGUUCCCGGGUCUUGUACACACCGCCCGUCACACCAUGGGAGUUUGUAAUGCCCAAAGCCGGUGGCCUAACCUUUUAGGAAGGAGCCGUCUAAGGCAGGACAGAUGACUGGGGUGAAGUCGU